rnacentral:tRNA from 1 species
GGUCAGGAUAGCUCAGUUGGUAGAGCAGA